rnacentral:lncRNA from 11 species
GAAGUAUAGCGUUGUUAUAGAACACACAGCCUGGAAGGAUGCCUUUUGAUGCCAGCUUGGCUCCCAAGUGCAGAAGCAUGAAAGGCUAAAGAGCAGCCAUGGGAAGACCUGGAUCAGCAGCACCAGAGUAGAUGCAAAAGCUUACAUCAACUCUCCUACAUCAAGUUUAUGAAUUAGUUCACUGCAGCUAGUGUUUAAUAAACAAAAAACAAGUGUGCAACAUCAAAC